GAUGAACGCUGGCGGCGUGCUUAACACAUGCAAGUCGAACGAAGCAUUUGCGACAGAUUUUUUCGGAAUGAAGUUGCUUAUGACUGAGUGGCGGACGGGUGAGUAACGCGUGGGUAACCUGCCUUGUACUGGGGGAUAGCAGCUGGAAACGGCUGGUAAUACCGCAUAAGCGCACAAUGUUGCAUGACAUGGUGUGAAAAACUCCGGUGGUAUAAGAUGGACCCGCGUCUGAUUAGCUAGUUGGUGAGAUAGCAGCCCACCAAGGCGACGAUCAGUAGCCGACCUGAGAGGGUGACCGGCCACAUUGGGACUGAGACACGGCCCAGACUCCUACGGGAGGCAGCAGUGGGGAAUAUUGCACAAUGGAGGAAACUCUGAUGCAGCGACGCCGCGUGAGUGAAGAAGUAAUUCGUUAUGUAAAGCUCUAUCAGCAGGGAAGAUAGUGACGGUACCUGACUAAGAAGCUCCGGCUAAAUACGUG
rnacentral:rRNA from 1 species